AAACGAUGAGUGCUAAGUGUUGGAGGGUUUCCCCUUUCAGUGCUGCAGCAAACGCAUUAAGCACUCCGCUGGGGAGUACGACCGCAAGGUUGAAACUCAAAGGAAUUGACGGGGGCCCGCACAAGCGGUGGAGCAUGUGGUUUAAUUCGAAGCAACGCGAAGAACCUUACCAGGUCUUGACAUCCUUUGACCACUCUAGAGAUAGAGCUUUCCCUUCGGGGACAAAGUGACAGGUGGUGCAUGGUUGUCGUCAGCUCGUGUCGUGAGAUGUUGGGUUAAGUCCCGCAACGAGCGCAACCCUUAUUGUUAGUUGCCAUCAUUUAGUUGGGCACUCUAGCGAGACUGCCGGUGACAAACCGGAGGAAGGUGGGGAUGACGUCAAAUCAUCAUGCCCCUUAUGACCUGGGCUACACACGUGCUACAAUGGGAAGUACAACGAGUCGCUAGGCCGCGAGGUCAUGCAAAUCUCUUAAAGCUUCUCUCAGUUCGGAUUGUAGGCUGCAAUUCGCCUACAUGAAGCCGGAAUCGCUAGUAAUCGCGGAUCAGCACGCCGCGGUGAAUACGUUCCCGGGCCUUGUACACACCGCCCGUCACACCACGAGAGUUUGUAACACCCGAAGUCGGUGAGGUAACCUUUUGGAGCCAGCCGCCUAAGGUGGGAUAGAUGAUUGGGGUGAAGUCGUAACAAGGUAACCA
rnacentral:rRNA from 1 species